ACUCCUACGGGAGGCAGCAGUGGGGAAUAUUGCACAAUGGGCGCAAGCCUGAUGCAGCCAUGCCGCGUGUGUGAAGAAGGCCUUCGGGUUGUAAAGCACUUUCAGUUGUGAGGAAGGUGGUGUCGUUAAUAGCGGCAUCAUUUGACGUUAGCAACAGAAGAAGCACCGGCUAACUCCGUGCCAGCAGCCGCGGUAAUACGGAGGGUGCGAGCGUUAAUCGGAAUUACUGGGCGUAAAGCGCAUGCAGGUGGUUGUUAAGUCAGAUGUGAAAGCCCGGGGCGUCAACCUCGGAACUGCAUUUGAAACUGGCAGACUAGAGUACUGUAGAGGGGGUAGAAUUUCAGGUGUAGCGGUGAAAUGCGUAGAGAUCUGAAGGAAUACCGGUGGCGAAGGCGGCCCCUGGACAGAUACUGACACUCAGAUGCGAAAGCGUGGGAGCAAACAGGAUUAGAUACCCCUGGUAGCACAG
rnacentral:rRNA from 1 species